UGCGAAAAGUGACCAUCAUGCAACUUGCAGCACCGAAGUUGAUCUGUUUCGAACAACUGUGGAACCCGGCAGAAAUGUUCCCAAAGUAUAAAAUGGUCACUAUAUUUUAAAAGUCUAGCACCAUUUGGACGACUUGAUUUUACAUUAUUACAAUUUUUACAUUAUUACAAUUUUGUUUUGCGGUUUUAAGCAAGUGAGGAGGAUCAGAUAUUAAGAAAAUUGAAAGCUCCGCAGAGAAAACAAUUUCCUGUUACAAGCUGCACCAUCUGCAACAAGUGCUAUUAUUGUAAAAUCACAAUCGGCAAUUGCUGAAACUUCUUCCCAAAACAUGCUGGCCAAUUUAUAUGCUUUGGUGUUGUGGGUGGAGAAAAAAAGCCAAUGGUCUGGAGAACUGACUCGUGAUGGAUCUAACAUAUAGCUGAAGCACAUGGGAUGCAGCUAUCGUUUCCUUUUUUCUUUCAGCCCCAAGAUCAACGAAUCCAACUAUGGAGUCGGUGGUGGCAUCCUACAUAAUAUUUUCCUAAACUAGACAUUACAAGAAGUCGUUGAUGAGACUGCAGUUUUACAGCCUCCAACUUCAACUCCUGCAACACAUGCUGUUGGAUACCAGGUGAUGUGCUGUAAAGAUUCCUAAAAUAGUAUUUUUUACCAUUUAGAACUGUUCCAAAUGAAAAGUAGCAUGAGUAUUCGAACAUAAUCAUUUAAUGUUCUGGAACUGGGUAGGCGAAGCAAACCAGACUCCCGCAGCUCCUCGUAACAACUUUUACUUUUAGAAUCUAAACACAUGAAUAACCGAAUGUCUGUAAACCGUAUAUACAUAAUCCUUUUAUAUUAGUAGCUAUACAUACUUAAUAAUCUCUGGGUGGUAACGUUCACCUUUUGUUUUGCUACCAUUAAGUUUGAUCUGUUCUUCCCAAAACAGUUUAUAAAAGUCAUUAACUUCCUGCUUGUCACAGGCUAAAGUUAAAAAAGCUGGUUAAAGGGUGAAAGGUUGUUUAUUUUGCUGAAACUGUACCUUGGGCCAUUAAAUUUUUGAAAUCAUUUGCUAAAUCUGCCUCUACGACAACCAAACGUUCUUCAGUUUCAAAGUUUUUUUAAUUUUUGUUUCCAAUUCAGUGAUUCUGUCAAGUAAUUGCAUUUUAAUUCAGCACUGUUUUUAGAAAGAAAUAUCAAUAGUCAAUACCGAACAUCUUUUUGUUCCAAUGAGCAUUUGAUUCUUUCCUUUAUUGUGUGGCCACAUUGAAUCCUUUAAGGGGUAUUCUUUUUACCUUCUCCUUGUAAAUCUUUCUUCGGUUUGUAUUUCUAUUUACUUUUUUCUUAACACACCCACAUUCUCUGCAUUGUUGUCCAUCUUUCAUAAAUAUCUGACACUUUUCUGCCCUGAUUAGAAUGUGUUAAAGAUUUAAUAUUUUUUUAAAUUUAAAAUGUAAUGCAUGAUUAGGCCUACAUGUACAGAUACUGUCUUAUUGCUCACCUAUGCGUUAUUAUGUUCACUUCUGGAAUUAAUCUAACUUCCAGAAAGGUUACUGGCCUUGGUCAUGUAAUGACACACCCCGGAUUUAGGUCACCCAGCAGUACACUACAAGUUCUGUACUGAAACACAGAUUUCAGGGCUUCAGCAAGAGGUUGAUGUUAAACAUCUAACUGUAUACAAUCUGGAGCACCCCAACCAUAAAGGAAGCCAAAACCCUGAAAUCCUUGAAGAUUUUCAAAUGAAGUUUUGGUUGGUCAUGACCAUCUUCAAAAAAUUAAUUAAUAGUCUCGCUAUUUUUAUUUAUAUUUUUCAGCCAAGUGGAAGAGGUGUUUGAGCCAGUGAAUUGAAAGUUUCAAAGUGUGGGGUGGUGGUGAUGAUGAUCUUGGUUAGUGGGAGUGGACUUGCAGCCACUAAAGCUACCGCGUUUCGGUGGGAGAUUCAAUGUUGGUUGUCGAGACCUUGUUUAUUUAAACUAAACUUAGGCUUUAUUUAACAUAACGUAACUACGACCUUAAACAAAUAGAAUAUUAGAUAUAGAUUAAAAUAACAACGGAAAUGAUAUCACUAAACUCAGUAAGCUAAUUCAAACAGUAACACUGCAACUGAAAGACGGGAGUUAAAACAAAUGGUGAAACGUG